GGGGUUAUGGCUCAGCGGUAGAGUGCUCGCCUCGCAUGUGCAAGGCCCUGGGUUUGAUCCCCAGAACCACA
rnacentral:tRNA from 1 species